rnacentral:siRNA from 1 species
GUGCCAUAUAAACGGAUGUGGUA